UGAGCUGAAAUGAGAAUUCACAAUAGAAUAAAAAAUGGCUAUUGACAGUUGAAAAGAAAAAGGAAUGAAAAUUGAAAAUGGCUCAGGAAAAUGGUGUUUCGUGGAAAAUGAGCGUCUGGCGGGAUUCACUGAGAAGAGGGGUAUAAAAGGCUGCGAGCAUAAGAAAAGCCAAAGUUAAGAAUAAGACGUUACCGGUGAAACUUAGCUAGAGAGCAGUGAAGAAGUGGAAAAAUUUAAUUUGUGUGUUGCGAUUUUUUUAUUGUGAAUAUUCCGGUGGUGUAUCAAGCUUUUUUGGAAGCACCGAAAAUUGUUCGGUUUUGGUCAGCACAACGGCGGGAAAUUGCCUUUUCUUUUUGGUAACGCAAGGUAGUGGCAAGUUGUCCACAGGAGAAAAAAGCCAAAAAAAGUUACAUUGAGGGUGUGGAGAUUUGAAUUGUAAACUGGCCAGCUGCAACUUUGAGCUUUUUGCUGUGCCUGUUAUUGAUCCCGCCCAGAACGCCGGCAUUGUAAAAGGACCAGUCAACAAGUCCAGCUUCAUUUCAGGGUUUGCCUGGCGUUCAAAAUCUGUUUCCUCCGGAAAGAAGCGUAAACUGGAAGAAGAGAUAAGAAGAAUUAAUCAAUAACGUUAUAAAUCACUGCUCAG